rnacentral:rRNA from 1 species
UACAGAGGUCCCAAGCGUUGUUCGGAUUCACUGGGCGUAAAGGGUGCGUAGGCGGUCGGGUAAGUCUGAUGUGAAAUCUCACAGCUUAACUGUGAAACUGCAUUGGAUACUAUCCGGCUCGAGGAAUGGAGGGGAGACUGGAAUACUUGGUGUAGCAGUGAAAUGCGUAGAUAUCAAGUGGAACACCAGUGGCGAAAGCGGCUCACUGGGCCAUUACUGACGCUGAGGCACGAAAGCUAGGGGAGCAAACAGG